rnacentral:lncRNA from 1 species
CUCGGGAUUGGCACCCAGCCAGUGCCCUACACUAUACAAGAUGCCACUGUAGGGACAGGGAUGACCUCUGGCAAGGUGACCCUCAGUGGGCCAGAGGGGGCUUCUGAAGAGAAUUUCUCUAGCUUCUUGGUGUUUCCUGCCUGCUACUUUCAAACAAGGGUCCCAUUUUUAAUGUUUUCCCAGUAAUACCUUAUGAAUGUUAUUGCGAAGCGGGCUAAAUCAACACCGCAGGCCCCGUGAUCAAUAUAUGUGAUGAGGACAUUACAUCCUGGUGUUGUUGCCCCAAGUCUUGACGUGAAUCUGACCACAAGGACAAUUCGGACAACCUGAAAUGGUGACACAUUCUACAAAAUAAACAUCAAUGUCAUGAAAGACAAAGACUCAAGAUUUUCUGCUUAAUGGAGACUAAAGAGAUGCGACAACUGAAUGCCAGGCAUGAUCUUGGAUAUUCUUUUGGCUCAAACAGUCUUAGGACAAUUGAAAAAAUCUGAAUGAGGUCUGUAGCUAAUAGAAUUGUGUCAAUGCCACAUCCUUGGUUUUGUUAAUUGCAUUGUGGUUACAGAAGAGAAUCCCUUUGUUUUCAGGAAAUGCACACAGCAGUAUUUAAUAG